rnacentral:rRNA from 1 species
GUGUCAGCAGCCGCGGUAAUACGGAGACUGCGAGCGUUACUCGGAUUCACUGGGCGUAAAGGGUGCGCAGGCGGUUAAUUGUGUCAGGUGUGAAAUCCCGGAGCUUAACUCCGGAACUGCGCCUGAAACUGAUUGACUAGAGACUCGGAGAGGUAAGUGGAAUUCCAGGUGUAGCGGUGAAAUGCGUAGAUAUCUGGAGGAACACCAAAGGCGAAGGCAGCUUACUGGACGAGAUCUGACGCUCAGGCACGAAAGCGUGGGGAGCAAAAAGGAUUAGAUACCCUUGUAGUCCACGCCGUAAACUUUGUACACUAGGUUUUGGGGGAUUCGACCCCCUCAGGGCUCAAGCUAACGUGAUAAGUGUACCGCCUGAGGACUACGACCGCAAGGUUAAA